ACAAUAUUAAAAUAAAGCAGCAUCAUGCUUAUAAAAACGUUGGUAUCUGUUUGCAACUUUUAUAGGUUGUGCAAGGCUGGAGUCAGACAGUGUUUAUCAUAAUGGCUAUGCCCAUCCUAAAGCUUUCCUCAUCCUCUGGAAUUGGAACAAAAUGUGCUGAAGUGAAAGAGACAAAAAUCCAGGAGAAGGGCUGCCUGCCUUUUUUAUCUAGCCUGCCAAGGGGCACAGACAGGAGAAUGUAGAUGGAGCUCCUCCUCCCACUUUCAGGACAGAAAAUUAAUGCAGAUCUAGAUGGAGAAGCAGAAGAAGCAUAUAUGUCUGGGAUCUUCUCCUCCAAACAGCAGAAAUGUCGACACUGAACACCCGCAAUCCUGUAGGAGCCAAGAUGGUUUUAUCUGAGUGACAAGGUCCAGGGAUGAUAAUAUGUUGCCAGGUUAUGUAAGGUCCAGUUCACAUAUCCAAUUAAAAAGAGGGCUUUUGUCAACAACUGACCACUUAAUGUUCAUUUAUCAGUGAAGAUAAAAACUAACGAACCAGAGAGCUGACAAUCAUCUUUCCAUUUGGAAGGCACAUUGCACUGGACAGCCGUUCUUCCGGAAUCACUCUCGGUACAGAAAUGCUACUUUAAAAUUUCUGAGAUGAAAUGCAGUUACGCAGUAAAUUUAUCUCACCCUGGUGUAUCAUUGCUCUCACCAUGUGUAAUGUUCAUUUCCUCUCCUGGAACCCUGAUGUGCAGCAGCAGGUUACACAGCCCUGGCUUCUGUGAACCCAUUGGCUUCACUUAGGAUACAUGUCUUCAUUUUCAACAAUGUUGUCAUGUUUCUUCCUAAUCCAGGCCACUGUGUCUGCUUGUUAACUAAUAGGAGGUAUUUCCUCAGGACAGUUCUUGUCUUCAUUAGUAUGUUUGCUGGUUUAUCUCAGACCUGCCAAAAUAAAGAAUGCAUAAUAA